UCUUUGAGCAGUAUUCCUAUAGUCCCAGCUUCCCGGGAGGCUGAGGUUGGAGGAUCGCUUGAGUCCAGGAGUUCUGGGCUGCUGUGCGCUAUACCGAUCGGGUGUCCGCACUAAGUUCGGCAUUAAUAUGGUGACCUCCCGGGAGCAGGGGACCACCAGGUUGCCUAAGGAAGGGUGAACUGGCCCAGGUAGGAAACAGAGCAGGUCAAAACUCCCGUGCUGAUCAGUAAGCAGAUUUUUAUGUUAUUUGCUUUUGUUCUGUUACUCUCAGAACAAAAUAAGUACAAUUUUCU
rnacentral:SRP_RNA from 1 species